rnacentral:misc_RNA from 1 species
GAUGAAGAACGUAGCGAAAUGCGAUAAGUAAUGUGAAUUGCAGAAUUCAGUGAAUCAUCGAAUCUUUGAACGCACAUUGCGCCCCCUGGUAUUCCGGGGGGGAUGCCUGUUCGAGCGUCAUUUCACCACUCAAGCCUCGCUUGGUAUUGGGCAACGCGGUCCGCCGCGUGCCUCAAAUCGACCGGCUGGGUCUUCUGUCCCCUAAGCGUUGUGGAAACUAUUCGCUAAAGGGUGUUCGGGAGGCUACGCCGUAAAACAACCCCAUUUCUAAGGUUGACCUCGGAUCAGGUAGGGAUACCCGCUGAACUUAAGCAUAUCAAUAAGCGGAGGA